GCCGCCGCGCGUUCCAGCCGAGACGCCCCAGCCUUGCCGCUCUUGGUUGUUCGGAGCUCCGCCUAUAUAAUGCCUUUAGGGGCGGGGCUCAUCUUCUCCACCGGCUUGCGCACUAAGGCACGUUGCUAGGCGCCUACGUAAACUUUAUGAGGCGAGCUGUGCCGCUCCCAGACGUGGGGCCGCGUGGCCUAAUGGAUAAGGCGUCUGAUUCCGGAUCAGAAGAUUGAGGGUUCGAGUCCCUUCGUGGUCGCUGCGGGUGUUCUGAUUUUUCCUUUUUUUUUUUCCAGUUCAAAAUUUUCCUUUUUCUCUUUAGCAGGGCCUGGGACAUUCCGGGCUGCGUAAACCGCUCGCCCGACACUAUCCUCUUGGGACUGCUCCCGCGGAGCUCGAGAACCCCAGUCUAGGACUGCAGCCGGGGGACCCAAAGCUGGCCGCCGGUGGGCGGACUGCGGACCCCGAAGCCACCGACCGAGAGUCCCGGGAGUGGGCGGGACCCGGGGUCCUGCCCACCACAUUUCUCACCCUCGGAGACGGGGGCCAGGAUCUUAGGGCCAGAGUGGGUGUCGGACCAGGAUCCCCUCUCCCAAGGUGAGCACCUCCGUCCUGGACGCCCUUGUACCACAGCAGCCCCCCGGGACCUCGCAGGCCUGAGAGGCCCAGGUCUUGGAAAGGCUCCAGGCAGGGCAGCUGCGAUGACUGAUGGAUGAAAAUUGGGGCCAUCUCUUUAGACUUUGGCAUGGCCUUUGAUCUAUCAAUUCCAUUUGAGGAACAUUUCCUGAAGACCUACCCUUAGGUCCUCAAAGACGUGCAGGGGCAAAGGCUGGAAACAAAUGGCAUGUUCGCUUAGUGAAGUAUAAUUCAGAGGAUGGAAGCUGACAAGGAGCUGCGAUGGGGGGGGUGGGGUUGUCCCAAGGAGGGUCAAAGGACAAGUGCAUUUAAAAUCUAAUAGAUUAUUUAGAUUGCUUGCAACGAGAACGUACCCUUGAAUUGCUUGUGUAAAUGUAUAAAUAUAAACAGUAUGUCCGGAAUUGGGUCAACAAAAAAAGGCUGAAACCGAAUUUCCCCCAACAUGUUCUGGUUAAAUAUAAGAAUCCAGCUGCAGAGCAGCGGAGAGUAUCCUCCUAGGUGGGUAAAAGUUGGGUAGAACUGCCGCUGGAGGAGUGUAUCACGGCGCUGAUGGUCUGGGUCGUGCGGAGGGUCCUUUUCCUUUGUCAUCUUUGUAACUUUCCAGUGGUUUACUAAGGGCUCGUAAGUACAAGGCAGACAAACUUCACAGGAAUAAGAUUUUUAAAGAUGAAGGAACAGCAGGAAGGGAGACAGGCAAACAAAAAGGAUGCGCGCAACGUGGAGCUGGAACCUACAACUGUGAGAUUAAGAGCCUCAUGCUCCACCAACUAAGCUAGCCGGGCAGCUGCUUAGAGAUUUGUGGAGGGCUCUCAGGUCAGAAAUCUAAAGCCAUGAAGUUCUGACAAAGAAAGCAGGGAUCCCAGUCAGGAGCAAUGGUGAGAGGGGUUGAAACAGGGAAGGACGCCGCCCUCGCUUUCUUUCCGGAAGACGAAUUCGCCAUUGCAGAGUACGCAUGGUGUCCCCUGUCUACUCUCCCCCCGCCCCAUUCAGCAUCACAAACACAUUCUUUGCGACUAAUUAUCCAUGCUUUUCUGUUAAAAGACUUAAAGGGCUCACCCGGGGUCUGAACCCCAAACCUCUCUCACGCCAGGGGAGAAGCAUACCCCUACACCAACGAGAGCAAGGAGCCGUUGUCCAGUCUCUGUAAGCGCCACACGCACUGUGCGCAGUCUCUGCCAGGUCCGGAGAUUGCUCCGUGGAGGGUGAGGUUUGAACGAGAACGUGGGCCGAAUAUGGACUUCCACGGGCCGUGAAGAGGGCUGGGAUGCGGCCGGCAUGUUAUGCAGAAACCACUGGGAAAAAGACCAGAUAAGAUAAGACCAGCCAUUUUUUUUUUUGCGGCAACCCCGGUGGCCUAGUGGAUGAAGCUUUGGCUUCCUAAACCGGGGUUUGUUGGUUCGAGUCCUACGCGCGGUAGAGAGUAGUUGAUUUGAGGCCUUUUUUUUUUUUUUUUUUUUAACGAAUGGAACAAAGUUUAGUGAAAUUCAAUUGGGGCACACAAGUCACGGUAUCUGAAUCGAGCAAAAGGGGAUUCUGCCCCAGGCAGAUGUCGUGGCUUUCUUUAGUGCUUCCUAUUGGCAAAACCUAACAGGGAUCCAACUGGCAAAGCAGAGUACAGAAAGGGCGUGUAGCAAGCCCAGCCGAGAAGGCUUCUGAGGCCCAUGGGGUAAAAAGCACUUGUCCCGGGCGACGACCGGGCGCCCUCCAUUAGCCUGGGUAUGAAGAAGGUCUGGAGGGCGCCUCCGGACUGUGAUCCUCAGUGUCCUGGGUGCACCGGGACAACCGGCGCUGCGGGAACGGACCCCGAACCCCAGACCCAGGCUGAUCUGCACUGUCCACACGUCAUCCACUUGGAGAAUUCUGGGAACCAGAUUUCAGCGGCCAACUCCAAGAGGGAGCCAGGAGCCAAACCCGGGACCUGUCGCACCUGAAUCAAGAAUCACGCCCAUAGACCAGCCACAGGCUGCUGCUUUUGCCACCCUCCUCCCACCUCUUUGGAGCCAAGACUUUGCAUUCUCCAUUCUGGGACUUAGAGGCACGGGUCACCAAGGGCCUGGUGGUGAUGACGCCCCCUUCCCGGGGGUCUUCUCUUUCAGCUGUGCGAGGGUAGCAGGACGGAGAAACCGUGGAGAUAGAGGUGGAGGUCCUUGGGGACUGGUUAGAUUUAGGGGAGUGUCAGGACCGGCUACAUAGUUUACAAGGGCCAGUGCAAUGAAAACGCAGGGCCCUCAUUACAAUAUUAUUAAGAAUUUCAAGGCCGCGGCAGCAGAGCAUGAAACCAAGUGUAGUUGUUAUUAUUGUUAGUUCCUGUGGAGUCGGCUCAUAUUCAUGAUCGUAGAUAUGUUUGAGUCAAUUGUUGUGGCCAUUGUGUCAAUACAUCUCGACCUGUGUGACUGUGUCCGAGUUGCCUGCCCAUGAAGCCGGCUCUGGUGAAGAAGUCUCCUUUUUCCAGUUGGACCGCAGGGGGCAAGUCGGCAGCCUUGAGGGAGCCGAGUCACCCCAAGCACUGUGGCAAGGCUCCCUGGGGCGGCCCCACGCUGGGGACCCACCUUCUCUCCUUUCCCCUCUGGAGGGCCCAGCCUGGCUCCCCCCGCCUCAGCAGGUAGCCCCGCUCCUCCUGCCCCUGCGCUCGCAGGGCUUCAAACGUGCUGGGAUCCGAGAGCUGCUGCGAAAAGAACCUGUCCCGCCUCCCGCCUGUGGAAUCGAGGCCUUGUGUAUCGGGCCUGGGAGAGGUAAAUUCAGCUAAGGGCCGGGACUGUGCUAUCCGGACCCUAGAGUCACUUUCCCCCAUGGUAGGGGAGUCUCAGGUCUAACACCACAGUUGCCGGGCUAGCUCAGUCGGUAGAACAUGAGACUGUAAAUCUCAGGAUCGUGAGUUUUAGGCCCACUUUGGACGUUGUGUUUUAUGGUCCAAACCAUGACUUCCGUAAAAGAAUCAAGUUUGCAAGCUUUUGUCACGGCCCCCUGACGUUUCCCUAGCACUGACCCUUACUGAGUGUUGGGUCAGAACUGCAGGGAGCCCUGAGGGGAUCGUCGCCCCCUCUAUGGCACCUUGAGUAUUAACAGGGAGAACCAGACUACUGGAAUCCGCGCUUCCUUCUGCCUCUACCAACCCUGGAACCGGUCGCAUGAAAUUGGACUGCCUCCUCUUGGCAGAACUGGAGCCCGUAAGCACCAAGGUUUCCAUGAUGCCUGGGCCCCCUCCUCCCUGCUCCCCAGGCACAAGCCACAGCCCCCACCGCCGUCACAGCCCCAGGCCCAGGCUCCCCCCAGGGAGUGGCUGUUCCGCCUCCAAGGUGACCUCCUAGCUCACACAGGCCCCUCGUGCACCCCCCUUUCCCUUUCUGUUCCCCACUCCUGUGUGGCAGGAAUCAACCGCGUCGGCUCAGCGGAAUCUUCUUCCGGCGACUGCGCGGUUCUGUCCCCUUCCCAGCUUCCCCCUUUCCUCCUGAACUCCGUCCCCAGGGUCUCCCGGCUGCGACCACAGAUCUCUGCCCGGUAAGUGGCUGGAAGAAGGGACUCUGCCAACUGCAGAAUGAAGAUGAGUCUGCGAGCACCUGGAGGGAGGAAGUGAAAUAUUGCCUCCGUGGCUCGUUGGUCUAGGGGUAUGAUUCUCGCUUCGGGUGCGAGAGGUCCCGGGUUCAAAUCCCGGACGAGCCCUCGUUCGGUUCACUUUUACAGUCUUUGUUUUAGACAGCGGAUGUGCAGAGUUCCAGGGGAGACCCGGCGGGAGCCGCUCAGAGCCAGUGUCUGUGGCUUCUCCGCGGUGGAUAAGCUCCGAGCGCGGUCCUGGCCGCAUCCCGGGUGAUGCUCCCUUGCGAGGGACGGUACGACGCCCUGACGUUGUCUGGGCUCUCGCCCUCUCCUUACCACCCAACUCCCAGCAGCUGUCCUCGGGGUUGGCCAGGACUCGACUUAAACCUGAAAAGAACCGGCAAAAUAUACGUCGCAGCUGCCACUUUAGCCCAGGCGGUACCGUAGGAGACUCUUCAUCUUGGAGUUAUCGCUUCAAGUUCUGUGUUUUGAUUGGUCAAUCUGCAGGAGUCAACAAAGCCUCUAGUUUCUUGUUCUCUGCCUGGUGUCUUUCUUCCCUGCCACAUUUAGGACUAUAACCUACCAUGAAUUGCUUUCUUUGUAUGGUGUGAGGUAGCGUUCAAGACUUAUUUUUUCUGAUCCAGAUCUAUUUAUUUAAAAGAUCAAUCACCCUCUCCCCCACUGCUCUGCAGUGCACAUCUUUUCACAAAUCAAGAGUCUAAAUACAUAUGAUUCUAUUUCUGGGCAACUUUUUCCCGUAGUCUCUUUGUCUACCCUUGCAUCAAAACCAAUUUAGCUUUAUGAUAAAAUUUGACAUCCAGGAAUGUACAAACUCUCUAAAAUUGUUAGUUAUUGUCCAUCCUUUUAUUUCCAUAUGAGAUUCAGUUUGUCAAUUUACACAAAUAGCAACUGGGAUUUUGAUUGGAAUUUUUCUAUAGGUCAGUUUGGAGUGAUUUGACAUCAUUACAAUAUGGAAUCUUUCAAUUUAUGAACAUGCUAUAACCCUCAAAUUAUUAAGAUCUUUUUAAAAAAUAUUUUUCUCAGAUAGGAUUUGAAUCUUUCAUUAGAAUUUUUCCAGGUAUUUGAUAUUUUGGAUGCUAAUGUAAAUUAUGUUUGAAUAUAAUUUUUGCAGAUAUAUACAAAUGCAAUUAAUUUUUGCAUAUAGACCUUGGAUUCAGUGACCUUGGAAAUUCAUUAAUUUUUUUCUAAUCUAUAUAUUUUUCUACAUAUUCGGGCAUGUCAUCUGUGCAUAAUGGCAGUACUUAAUUGUUAAUUAUUUAAUGAUUUUUGAUCCUUAUUUAUACCUGUUAAUUAUUUUUCUUGCCUUAUUACUCUAACUAGGACUCCCAGUAAAAUGUUAAAUAGAAGUGUGGUAGAGGAUAUUCUUACUUAGUUCUAGAAUUCAGGGGGAGAAGCUUUCAAAGUUCUACCAUUAAAUAUGAUAUUUGUUGUCAUUAAAAAAAGUUACCAUUUAUCAGUUACUAUUUUUGUUCUUUUUUUUAUUGCUAUGUAGGAAACCCUGGUGGAGUAGUGGUUAAGAGCUCCUUGGAAACCCUAUGAAGCAGUUCUAUUCUGUCCUGUAGGGUUGCUAUAGGGUCGCUAUGGGUUGGAAUCAACUCAACAGCAACAGGCUUUUUUUUGGUUUUAUGAGUCGGAAUUGACUAGAUGGCAAUGGGUUUGGUUUUGAUUUGCUGCAUGUCAGAAACCCUGGUUGCAUAGUGGUUAGGAGCUACGGCUGUUAACCAAUAGCUUAGCAGUUCAGAUCCACCAGGUGCUCCUCCAGAACUCUUAUGGGGCAGUUCUACCCUGUCCUAUAGGGUGGCUAUGAAUUGGAAUCAACUGGGCGGCAAUGGGUUUCUUGUUUUUAUUUUUUUGGUUAUUGCUAUGUAACAAACAUCCCCAAAUUUAGUGUCAUGAGACAACUAUUGUAUUAUGCUCAUGGAUUCUGUGUGUCAGGAAUUAAAGGAAGAACAGCAGGUUUAACUUGUAUCUGUCAAGUCUGGGGCUCGGCUGGGAAGAGUUGAAGGCUGAGGGCAGCUAGAGGGCUGGGAGCCAGAUGCAUGUGGAGGCCCCUUUACUCACCUGUCUGUCAUGUGGACUGAGGGGAAUCAAAAGCUGAGCUCAGCUGGACUGCGUGGAGGCUUAAAAAAACCGAUUCCUACUAGUGGCAACCCUAAAGGACAGAGUAAGACCAGCCCAUAGGGUUUCCAAGGAAGAGGCUGGUGGAUUCAAACUGCUGACCUUCUGGUAAUCAGCCAAGCUCUUAAUCACCGCCACCAGGGCUCCUAUAUGAACAGGAAAUAUUGCUGGUUUAUCCAGUUAUCCAGCAGAACUAAACACUUCACCUGAAAAUCUGACUAAGGCUGUGAACUGGAAAACCACAUUCCAGGAUUCAGAGGUGCCCAUGCUAACAACUGUACUAUGGGGUUUUUGGAAUGACCUGUGAAUCAGUAGGAGAACACUCAAAUAGUAACAUUACGGUGGCUCCUUGGUCUAGGGGUAUGAUUCUAGCUUUGGGUGAGAGAGGUCCCUGGUUCAAAUCCCGGAUAAGCCCUGGUUUUCCUCCCUUCUUUAGGCAGACAUUUUCACCUUUUCAGCCACAGAGGGGAGACCCAGGAGGUGGAAGGCAGACCCAGAAUGUGGAAGGUUCCAGCUGACACAGCCGUCGGGGGAUCCCCAGGGUCUGGAGACUCCAAGAGGUGGGAUUAGCUAGCCUGCCCUGGCAAUCAGGUCACGGUCCCAAAAGAUCACGCAGCAAGAAUGGGGAGCGAAUCCCUAACCCAUAACCUAGAGCUGGGAUCCUGGGUCGGGGAAGGUUAUUUAGAAUAAGGACAUGCGCAGGUCACGCUGGUUGAUUGGUUGUUGCCCAAGUGCUGUAAUUCUUGCGCGGGCCCCAGAGGUUCACCUGUCAGGUCGCGAUGAGCCCUACUAGUACUUCAGAUCGCAUUUUAGCUGAAAGCGGAGGGCGGGGCUGCUUGGCUUCCCCGGGCAGAACUUCAGUGGGCGCUCCUGGCUGGUCGGCGUCCGCGGAAAUUCGCAAGAGCCCGGGAGAUGGCGGGGAGAGGAAAGGUCGGGCUCCGCAGGGCUGGGGACGCGUUCAUCACACCUGCUGGAUUCUUAGGGAUCGGAUCACACUUGGACACUUGGAAGGACAGACCAACAGCAGAGCGUACCCUGAACCUGACUCCGACUUCUGGGCCCAUGAACCCCCGGACAAAACCCCCGCUGUUUCGCAGGCCGCGUCCUCUGCCCUCCCCACGCCCUGGGGGGCGGAAGCAGCUGUCCCUACUAGGCACCUGGGUGGAGAGAGGGCAUUGCUGACCCGCCCCCAGCACCGGGACUGCUGAGAGCCUGAUCCGCUUCUCCCAGGGGUCGCAGCUCCGGCCCCUGGACUUCUCCGCGCACCUGAGGGCCCAGUUGGCGCUGCCCUCCUGGUUCACUCCUGGGGCAGAGAUCUAGGUUCAGCCGAGUCUUGACCGCUGGACAUUGAAACUGACCCUGUCGAAGGUGAUCUUUAAGAAAGGCCUCAGAAACCCAGACCUACUGGACUGGCUGAGACUGGGAGACUCCUGGACACUAUCACCCUGAGGUACUCUUCAAACCUUGGAAGGAAACUAACCCCUGAGGUCACCUUGUAGCUAAAUAACAAAUUGGUGUAAAAAAUAAUGAGUACUGUGAGUGCUCGUGAGUACCGUGAGUACUGUGCUCCUCCAGGGUUACCUCACAGAGCAAUAAACAGAUACAGAGACCUAAGACACGAACACUGGGUUCCACUAACUUGGGAAGGUUGAAAAAUCUAAUCAUUUGAAGAAUAGUGGAUGUGUUGUUGUUCUGAGGCUAUGAUUCCAUAUGGUUAUACCCCUCCAUACCCCACCAGCUAAAUAAGGUCAAGCAAUGGCUUCAGGAGAGGGCAUGCCAUAAAAUCGUGCCAGAGAAUAUCAAGCGUUUGUUAAUAAACCUAAUAUACACAGUAAAACUUGUGAGAGCUGGAACUC